GUGCAUUCUUCAUUUCUUCAAAACACCAAACAAAGUGGCUGUCAUUAGCCUACCUAUUUUUGUGCAUCAUUGUCGGUUGCAUCGUGAAAGUCAGUUUGAGUCUGUUAUGGUGUUGCAAUUAUGUAGGCAAAGCUUUUGCCCAGCUGUUUCAUGGUAGCUAGCGCUAGCUCUGAUUGUGCAGGUCCAGCUGAUUUACCAGGUUUGGGUAAUCAAAACAGUUGCCCCGGUUGCCUGUAGACGGCCAGUAUUAGAGUUGAACUAUGUGUAUCGAAAAGCCGUGGGUCGCGUUCCUCUGUCUUUGUGCAAACAACAGAUGUGUGGGCAUGAGCACCAUGUAAAUAAGGAGCGGAGUGCAUGCAUUAGGGAUGGUGAAGUGGAAAUGCCCUGCCUGGCGUUACACGAGUCUCAUACGCACAUCGUAAGAGCCAGUCAGUCAGACCUCCAGUAGGUCGUAGCCAUAAUUAUCAGCCUUUAUGUUGGCCAUAGCACUGAAGUGUAUUUGAAGUGCCACUACUAGGAAAGGCAACCAACAACAAUGAUGAGGCGAAAUUUCACUAUCAUAUCAAAAACAUGGCGAGAGGAGGGUUCAAGAAGUCAUGCCCUGCAUGUCAGGCAAACAUCUUUAAUGGCUGUAAAGUGUGCCCCAUGUGCAAGGCACCACAGCCACAAAAACUGAGGCUUAAAAAAAAACUUGAAAAGUUUAAAAAAGAAAAAGAUACUUGGGUGGCCAACACAAAGAAAAACCAGAUCACCUCGCACCUGAUGGAUGAUGCGGUCAUUCUGAUGGAGAAGCUGAAUGCGGUGGGCUGGAAGCCCAUCCUCCUUCUGGAAUAUCCGAAGAAGGAGGCAAGGAUGCUCCUCCCAGAAGGCCUCGUUCCAAGUGUGGGGGGAAAGGAAAUGUCUCGAUGACAUUGAAGAAAUGUACACCUUCAUGAUUGAAGCCAGCCCCACCACCACCACCACCACCACCACCACCACCAUUGAGGGCCCAGAGACUGGGGUUAAACCUGAGACGGUGGAGACUGUCCUGUCAGCCAGCCCUACCACCAACAACUGGGGGACAGAGCCUGGCAACAAACGGAAGAGACGCCCAAGUACAAAAGUGGACACUCUCCCGACAACAAGCCCUACCACCACCAACAGGGGGACAGAGACUGGCAACAAACGAAAAAGACACCCAAGCACAAAAGUGAAGAAGGUUCUGUCCACAAGCCCCAACACCACCACCAACGGGGGGCGAGAGACUGAGACAGUGGAGACUGUCCUGUCAGCCAGCCCUGCCAUCACCACCAACGACUGGCAAAAUACAAAACAGACGCCCAAGGACACACAACCAAUACCACCCCUCCCCCCACCUAUACUCCACAGUUGUACUUAAAAAGGACUUGACAAUGUUUUCUUAAAAAUGUGUUUUUUAUACAGUGUUUUAUUCUGUAUUUAUACUAUUCCUUGUGUGACUGUUUGUGUGAGCAUUGUUUUAGAGGCUGCAUAAACAGAUUUCAUUGUACGGUUUUAUUGCACAAUGACAAUAAAGAAUAAACAUGCCACUAUUUGCUUAUGUCAAACAGUUUCUAAAGAGGAAAAGGAUUGCCCCCACAACAGCCAGAAGGUGCACCAGUACACACACAUAAUCACACAAAGAAAGAUACGGUUAUUUUCAUGCACAAUAAAAUUGCAAAGAAAACAAUAGAUGAUUUACCAAUACUGCUUGAUCACUUUUUUUUAUUUUUUAUAAUGGCACUGCAGAAUAAUGUCUCAGUGAUCCUAUC
ensembl:lncRNA